rnacentral:lncRNA from 1 species
UCAUCUCCAAUGGAGCUACGGUUAAUUAAGUACGACCUAAACCGUUUCUAUCACGUUAACACGCAAACCGAUGCGAACAACACAACUAAACAACUUUAAAUAUGCAUGAUAGUCGCAAAACCUUAAUCUAUGCAAAAUUCUAGCCAAGUUAGAUAUAUAACUCACCGCGAUCGGGCGCACGAAUUAAAACUUACGGGCGUUUGAAAGUUAUGCUCUUUUUCUGAAAUUUAAUAAAUUCGCAAACCAAAAAAAAUACAC